AAAAUUCCAACGCGAACCCCACGAAACCGAAACCCCAAAGUCCACGCGCGACGCGAGCAGGCAGCCAGAAAGAGAGAGAAAACAGAUAGUGCGAAGAGCGAGACGGAAGGAGGGAGGGAGAAACAGGGAGCAAAACCCAAACCCUAACAAUCAUUUCCAGGCCCCCGCCUCGCGUCUCCAGAACGUUCCGGAACCUUCGAGGGACCUUCCGCAGGGGCAGGCGCCGAGCGCGGGUGUUUGGAUCGGGGGAGGCAACGCUGGCGGCGCCCGGCGGCGGCAGGUGAUGGCGGAUCCGCCUGGCGGUGGGGGAUCUAGGGCUUGCGUCUGCAGGGGGAGACAGGUCGAGGCGGCGGCGGCGGCGGGGCUGAGGCUCGGGAGAAGAGAGCAGGGGAGGGAGGGAGGAUGCUGAGCGUGGUUCGGGUGCACCUGCCGUCGGAGAUCCCGAUCGUGGGCUGCGAGAUCACGCCCUAUGUGCUGCUGCGGCGGCCUGACGGUGCAGUCUCCACCGACGACGUGCCCGAAACCGCGCCCACCGAUGGCCAGUUCAUGCGGUACAGAUGGUAUCGCAUACAGAGCGAUCGGAAAGUUCCUAUCUGCAGUGUACAUCCAAUGGAACAAGCAACAAUUCAGUGCCUCGGUUGUCUCAAGUCAAAAAUACCUGUUACUAAGAGCUACCACUGUUCAGCUAAAUGCUUCUCUGAUGCAUGGCAGCACCACAAGGUUUUGCAUGAGCGAGCUAGUAGUGCUUUAAAUGAAAAUGGAGCUGAAGAAGAGGAGUUAUUUGGUAGAUUUGGCUGUGGUGGUUCUGGAGUUCUAAGUACUGCUGGGUCUGGUUCAUUGUCAAAUUUUGGACAGAGCCCUAGUGUUAGUAAUGGGCCUGUGCCUUUGUAUCCCUCGGGCACUGAUAAGAACUCUGGAGAGACUUGGUUUGAAGUUGGACGUUCGCGGACAUAUACACCGUCAGCUGAUGAUAUUGGGCAUGCACUAAAAUUUGAGUGUGUAGCUGUGGAUUCAGAAAAAAGGUCUCCAGUGGGGCCUCCGACUUCAAUUAUGACAUCACGUGUAAUCCCUGCACCAACUCCCACCCCACGUCGCCUUAUCCAAGUGAACGGAGAUGUUUUAGGUCACUUGGAUUUAGACAGCCAAACUUCAUCGCUAGGGACAUUCACUGUGUUGUCCUACAAUAUUCUUGCUGAUGCAUAUGCUACAAGUGAUGCAUAUAGCUACUGCCCAACAUGGGCACUUUCCUGGGCUUACAGAAGACAAAACUUGUUGCGUGAAAUUAUUGGUUAUCAUGCUGAUAUCAUUUGUCUUCAGGAGGUACAAUUAAACCACUUCGAAGAUUUUUUUGCACCUGAGCUUGACAAACAUGGAUAUCAGGCGCUUUACAAGAAAAGGACAACAGAGGUGUAUUCUGGAAAUCCUAUGGCCAUUGAUGGCUGUGCUACCUUUUUCCGCAGAGACAAAUUUUCUCAUGUUAAAAAAUAUGAGGUUGAGUUCAAUAAGGCUGCACAGUCAUUAACAGAUGCGAUUAUUCCCGCUGCUCAGAAACGGGUGGCUUUAAGCCGAUUGAUUAAAGACAACAUUGCACUAAUUGCGGUUUUAGAAGCCAAAUUUGGUAAUCAUGGAGCUGAAAAUCCUGGUAAAAGGCAGCUCCUUUGUGUGGCAAAUACACAUAUAAAUGUCCAUCAAGACCUGAAAGAUGUGAAGCUUUGGGAGGUUCAUACCCUCCUAAAAGGAUUGGAGAAGAUAGCGGUGAGUGCAGACAUUCCUAUGUUGGUCUGUGGAGAUUUCAAUUCAACCCCUGGGAGUUCUCCACAUGGGCUUCUUGCAGUGGGUAAGGUUGAUCAACUACAUCCAGAUCUGGCCAUAGACCCCCUUGGAAUAUUACGCCCUCCAAGCAAGUUGAACCAUCAGCUUCCUCUGGUCAGUACAUAUUCUUCUUUUGCAAGAAUGGUAGGUGUUGGCUAUGAUUUAGAGCACCAGCGGAGAAGGAUGGACCCAGCAACAAAUGAACCGCUCUUCACAAAUUGCACAAGAGAUUUCACUGGGACUGUCGAUUACAUAUUUUACACAGCGGAUUCAUUGACAGUGGAGUCGUUAUUGGAACUUCUGGAUGAGGAAAGCUUAAGAAAAGACACAGCUCUCCCUUCACCUGAGUGGUCAUCAGAUCACAUUGCGCUCUUGGCCGAGUUCCGGUGCAAGCCUAGAAUCAGACGGUGAUAUGCUAGGUUCAUCAUAGUCUGAUCUUCUGGAUCUUGCUUUUGCUUGGGGGAAAGAAUGUCUUUAACAAAAGGUUAACUUCAGCAUCCUUGGUGGUGGAACAGUCUUCCAUGGUGGAAGUUGUGGCUUGGCGGAACGCAGGCCCUCGGGGAAGCAAGCAGUCUUAGGAAGCGGCCUCAGGAUUGGGAAGGAGGCUUGUAACUUUGAUUUUACCCCCCUUACAUUUCUCUCAGCUCAUGAUAUUUAAGCUGCCCCUGUGUACCAUUACUUUCUAUAGAAGAAAAUACUUGAGAGAAACAUUUAACAGCCACAGCUUGUAAGCCUUUUUUUCCUUCUUUUUUUCUUUAACUUUGAUCUCCUUCCGUUUGGUUUCUGGAGCAGUUUUAGUUUACCUUUCUUUUUGCUGUUGUCUGACUCUCAACUCCUUGCUGCAUGCAAGGUGUAGUGUACCCCUCAGCCUCUCUGAAUCUUGUACCGAUGGAAUGCAGACUCCAGGUGUGGUUGGUGC